rnacentral:rRNA from 1 species
AUUACCACCAAUGUGGAUGGCAGUUUUAGCAAGGAUACAAAAUCGGAUGGCUGGGAAUAUGUCAUACGGGACCAUGAAGGUGAUGUUGUGGUAGCUGCUGCUGGGCGCCUGAACUAUACUUCUGAUGGAUUACAAGCGGAAGCGGAAGCCUGUAUCCAAGCAAUGUACAAGGCGCAAGAACUGGGCAUUGGCCGAGCAGUCGUGGAGUCUGAUGCGAUGUUGCUGGUGCAGGCGAUUAAGUCCUCGAGUUUUGACCUCGCUCCAAAUGGUGUCUUGUUUAAGGAGAUCAAACUCUUUGCCUCUUUAAAUUUUAGCUCUUUUGAUAUUGUUCAUUGCCCUCGGGCCUGUAAUAAGGUUGCAGACGUUCUAGCGCUGCAUGGGGCGAAGAUGGAGCUAGAGCCCCAAGCCGUAUGGUCGGGCCUUGCCCCUACCUUUGCCCAGUCUUUGGUUGCCAGCGAGUCUGCUCGGCACGUUGCUUAA